rnacentral:rRNA from 1 species
UACAGGGGAUGCAAGUGUUAUCCGGAAUUAUUGGGCCUAAAGCAUCCGUAGCCGGCUCUGUAAGUUUUCGGUUAAAUCUGUACGCUCAACGUACAGGCUGCCGGGAAUACUGCAGAGCUAGGGAGUGGAAGAGGUAGACGGUACUCAGUAGGAAGGGGUAAAAUCCUUUGAUCUAUGGAUGACCACCUGUGGCGAAGGCGGUCUACCAGAACACGUUCGGCGGUGAGGGAUGAAAGCUGGGGGAGCAAACAGG